UACGUAGGGCGCAAGCGUUGUCCGGAAUUAUUGGGCGUAAAGAGCUCGUAGGCGGCCUGUUGCGUCCGCUGUGAAAUCCCGGGGCUCAACCCCGGGCCUGCAGUGGAUACGGGCUGGCUAGAGGCAGGCAGGGGAGAACGGAAUUCCUGGUGUAGCGGUGAAAUGCGCAGAUAUCAGGAGGAACACCGGUGGCGAAGGCGGUUCUCUGGGCCUGUACUGACGUGAGGAGCGAAAGCGUGGGGAGCGAACAGG
rnacentral:rRNA from 1 species